UACGAAGGGGGGCUAGCGUUGCUCGGAAUCACUGGGCGUAAAGGGUGCGUAGGCGGGUCUUUAAGUCAGGGGGUGAAAUCCUGGAGCUCAACUCCAGAACUGCCUUUGAUACUGAGGAUCUUGAGUUCGGGAGAGGUGAGUGGAACUGCGAGUGUAGAGGUGAAAAUUCGUAGAUAUUCGCAAGAACACCAGUGGCGAAGGCGGCUCACUGGCCCGAUACUGACGCUGAGGCACGAAAAGCGUGGGGAGCAAACAGG
rnacentral:rRNA from 1 species